rfam:Sugiyamaella lignohabitans strain CBS 10342 chromosome B, complete sequence.
GGUUGCAUGGUGUAACGGUUAUCACAUCAGAUUUUGAUUUCAAAAUCUUCUGGGAACCCCGGUUCGACUCCGGGUGCGACCU